rnacentral:lncRNA from 1 species
GUCCUUUAAGAGAUUUACUGCAGCUUCUCUCCCCCCCUCCAAUAUUCUCUUUACACAGUUUAUUGUAGUGAUUAUAGUUACAGUGCAGAGUGUAUUGGUGGAAAUCCCCAACACGCUCUGCUGUUCAUGUUGGAUUGGCUUUGAAAAGUUAAUGUAGAUGUUUCAGGGUGAGAGCUGAGGGUCCAAUAUUUGGCUGUAGAAGAAGCAGAACUUCAAUAAGCUACGGCGCAACCCUUUACUUUGUUAUGCAUUAUACUGCAUUAGAUUGGGUGUCAAUGGAGUGCCUCUUUGAAAAGUUUCUACAUAGAAAGCAUUGUUAAAAUUCAAGGAGUAAUUUUCACACUCACAAUAUUUCUGAAAACCACUAACUGAAUUAUUGCACGGAUAAACAUUUUACCAAAAUGCCCCCCCCAAAAAAACAAAAAACACUCACUAACUUUUGAAUUGCUCUUUAAUUUCCGAUCAUUUUGGUAUUCUGUUAUUUGAAAGAGGAAAAAACCCUCAAACGAAAUAAAACAGAAAAAAAAAACUGUAAUGUAACCAUGCAAAGAGAUAACUUGUGGAGCUUUGUACUAAAUAUUUCUUAAUUGGGCAUGUAGUGAUAGAGUGACGCCAGAAACUUUUAGCGUAGCUUAACAUGUGUCCUGCAAAGGUCAUAGGUAGCUUUCAGCAGAAUAACAAUUGUCCCACACUGGGGAUAGGUCUUUAACCAUGUCAUAUAUAAGAAAAAAACCAACGUCAGGGUAUCAUUUUACCUGCACAGAGAUCGUAACUAGCAUGUAACGGAAUAGCCAUAUUCCCACACAUGGGAUGGAUCAUUAACAUUGCAGUAUAUAGGAAAAGCCAGGGUCGAGUUAUCAUGGUGUCAAUCAUGCUAUGUGUGUCGUUGUAACCCAUGUCUGUAUUUGGUGUGGAUAGGUCCACCUCGUGUUCUUCUGAUGAGAAGUGUUAACAUCUGUUUACAGUAGCAUAGCAUUGGUAUGGGGGCAUUGCGGGAAGUGUGGUAUUGCUUAAUGUACCAGGGUCGUUUGGGGCUCCUUCGCGUUUUAUGUAUAGUCCCUAGGGUUCAGAUUCCAAGAGUGCUGUGGUGUUAGCCCGUGAUCUACUUCACUACUUGUGUGCAUCUUGGUCAUCUAGUAUUAUGGCCUCCUGUGCUAGGUGGCUGUGCACAGCCUGUCGAGAUCGAGACGUGGUCAGGAGUCCAUGGUGUUAGAUUGGUUGUGUUAGGUCUGGGCUGGGAGCAGGUUGUAGGUGAGGCAAGGUGUAGGUGGGGGGUGUUCCUCGCCCCCUGGUUGCCACUCCAGCCCACCCUACCCAGAGUUCCCCUCCCGUUUCUCCCCGGUCUGCGUGUCUCACGUCUGCCUGCUGCCGCUCACGGGUCAGCCAUGCAUUGUGCAAAGUUGUCCAUGGCGGUGUGGUGUAGCCAGUGGAAACAUCUCUCUGUAUACCUGUCUUUCAGUGUUGCGACCUUUAGGUCUUCGAAUUUCCUUGUGUCCACCACCUCACUUGUGGAACUUUGGGAAAAGGGCAAGUAUUACAUUACUCUGCAACAAAGUUUACCUAUUGUGCCACGCAAGUCACACAUGAAUAUUCUAGGUAACUAGCAACUACACAAAACAGGGACAUUAAG